rnacentral:rRNA from 1 species
UUCGCUAAAGGAUUGGUCUAUGUCCUAUCAGCUUGUCGGUGAGGUAAUGGCUCACCAAGGCUAUGACGGGUAUCCGGCCUGAGAGGGUGAACGGACACACUGGAGCUGAGACACGGUCCAGACUCCUACGGGAGGCAGCAGUAGGGAAUAUUGCUCAAUGGGGGAAACCCUGAAGCGGCAACGCCGCGUGGAGGAUGAAGGUUUUAGGAUUGUAAACUCCUUUUGUAAGGGAAGAUUAUGACGGUAUCUUACGAAUAAGCACCGGCUAACUCCGUGCCAGCAGCCGCGGUAAUACGGAGGGUGCAAGCGUUACUCGGAAUCACUGGGCGUAAAGAGCGCGUAGGCGGGUAGUCAAGUCAGAUGUGAAAUCCUAUAGCUUAACUACAGAACUGCAUUUGAAACUGACUAUCUAGAGUAUGGGAGAGGUAGGUGGAGUUCUUGGUGUAGGGGUAAAAUCCGUAGAGAACAAGAGGAAUACUCAUUGCGAAGGCGACCUGCUGGAACAUUACUGACGCUCAUGCACGAAAGCGUGGGGAGCAAACAGGAUUAGAUACCCUGGUAGUCCACGCCCUAAACGAUGAAUGCUAGUUGUUGUGAGGCUUGUCCUUGCAGUAAUGCAGCUAACGCAUUAAGCAUUCCGCCUGGGGAGUACGGUCGCAAGAUUAAAACUCAAAGGAAUAGACGGGGACCCGCACAAGCGGUGGAGCAUGUGGUUUAAUUCGAAGCUACGCGAAGAACCUUACCUAGGCUUGACAUUGAUAGAAUCUACUAGAGAUAGUGGAGUGCCCUUCGGGGAGCUUGAAAACAGGUGCUGCACGGCUGUCGUCAGCUCGUGUCGUGAGAUGUUGGGUUAAGUCCCGCAACGAGCGCAACCCUCGUCCUUAGUUGCUAGCAGUUCGGCCGAGCACUCUAAGGAGACUGCCUUCGUAAGGAGGAGGAAGGUGAGGACGACGUCAAGUCAUCAUGGGCCUUACGCCUAGGGCUACACACGUGCUACAAUGGGGUGCACAAAAAAGAUCAAUACUGUGAAGUGGAGCCAAUCUCAAAAACAUCUUUAAGUUCGGAUUGUAGGC